GCUGGGUGUGGUGGCGCACACCUGUAAUCCCAGCUACUCAGGAAGCUGAGGAAGGAGAAUUGCUUGAACCCAGGAGGUCAAGGCUGCAGUGAGCUGUGAUUGUGCCACUGCACUGCAGCCUGGGCAACAGAGUGAGACCCCAUCUCAA
ensembl:misc_RNA Metazoa_SRP Metazoan signal recognition particle RNA